rnacentral:tRNA from 1 species
AUUGGCCUAGUUGGCAGAGCAACAGCCUGCGACGCGUUGUGUCGUGGUUUCGAUUCCUGCCGGCA